rnacentral:rRNA from 1 species
CCUAGUAACUGCGAGUGAAGCGGGAAAAGCUCAAAUUUAAAAUCUGGUAGGCUUUGCUUGCCCGAGUUGUAAUCUAGAGAAGUGUUAUCCGUGCUGGACCGUGUACAAGUCUCCUGGAAUGGAGCGUCAUAGAGGGUGAGAAUCCCGUCUUUGACACGGACUACCAGUGCUUUGUGAUGCGCUCUCAAAGAGUCGAGUUGUUUGGGAAUGCAGCUCAAAAUGGGUGGUAAAUUCCAUCUAAAGCUAAAUAUUGGCGAGAGACCGAUAGCGAACAAGUACCGUGAGGGAAAGAUGAAAAGAACUUUGGAAAGAGAGUUAAACAGUACGUGAAAUUGUUGAAAGGGAAACGCUUGAAGUCAGUCGCGUUGGCUUGGGAUCAACCCUGUUUCUUACUGGGUGUACUUCCUUGCUUUACGGGUCAGCAUCAGUUUUGAUUGUUGGAAAAAGGUUGAGGGAAUGCGGCAUCCUCGGAUGUGCUAUAGC